CCUGCUUCCGUCGCCACCAGACGCGCUGCUGGACGGCCGGAGGCGAUCCCAUCCCAGCCGCGUCCGUGGCCAUCCGACCAACCACGUACCACUGCUCCUCUCCGAUAGAGCCUCCCCUCGUUGAGCCCUCGGGUCUAUUCGCGACACUAUCGUAACACGAUCUAUCGGAGGCGGCGGCGGCGGAGGCGUCCUCGGUGGCGCACGUCCGCCUCGCAUCCUGUGUGCUGGCAUACAAGCUUCUCAUCUCAAUGGGCCAGCUGCAGACGAGCCUGCACCAAUCUAGUGAUUCUGUUGCGCAAAUGAGCUUUUGAUCCACAACAGAAGCAAAGAGGUGUCAGUUGUUCUUGGCUGUUUCUCUUCCAGGCCAGCGGAGAAGUGGAUUCUGAGGAAAAAUAUGCCAGGUUCACUACGGGAAACCAUAAAUUUGUCGAGUAUUUUUUCUUUGUCGAGUGUUUUUUCGACACUCGGCAAACAAGCUCUUUGCCGAGUGUCGAGCUAAAAACACUCGGCAAAGAAAAAACACUCGGCAAACAGUACCAACAAGCUUCCUGCUGGACAUGAGGCACACAGGCCUCAUCUUGAUCUUUCGUUGCCGAUUAUUAUAGUCAAAAUAAAUACUGACACAUAGUGUCUUUGAUGCCACAAUUUUCCUCGCGUUCUAUUCUCCGUCCAAAAGGAUCAGUUUAUUGUUGUCAGUAGACACACCAAUACAGUGCUUACCUAUUAUAUUCUGAUGAAAUUGUAAUAAAGGAUCAUUUUUGUCUAUACAUGCCAAUAAGUUGCACAA